UGAAAAGUAGUGUAUGAGCGAUGGUCACUAUGCGAGCAAUAUAUACCAUCAUGCAUUGCGGUUCAAACAGAAGAAAUGGCCGACAGACAGGACCACGAAAGCGUGCAGCGGGAGCUGACUUUUAAAAUGUUCGACGAUUGUUUCACUUUGGAUUUCCGUUUUUCAGGAUUAUGAGACACGUUAUAACUUGUAUAUCACAGGUACUAUAAUUACGCCUCUACGGUAAAAACCCAGCUAGCUAGCAUUAGCCUUUAGCUAUCUUUUAGCCACCAUUAGUAGCAUGUUAGCAUUGCUAACUAGCGUCAGCGGUAAAUUGCAUUGGCAUUUCACUAAAGUACCGGAGCAAAAUUGAUCUUAUUCUGUUCAGGGACUGAUGACGAUGUAGCCCAGCUGAUCCGGCUGAGGAGGGAGAAGGACCACCCCUUCAGCGGGAGGCGGUUUGCUGCUGCUGCAGGAUGGGAAACUUUGCUGAAAGACAUGCUGCUGUCUGAUCGAGUCAGUCCUGCUCGGGCGGAUAAAAAGUGGGAGAACUUGAAGAAAACGUACAAGUCAUGAUCAUCCAGAGCUGGCGGAUUUUCAAUCGGGC